AGCGAACGCUGGCGGCAGGCUUAACACAUGCAAGUCGAACGGUCCUUCGGGAUAGUGGCGGACGGGUGAGUAACACGUGGGAACGUACCCUUAGGUUCGGAACAACACAGGGAAACUUGUGCUAAUACCGGAUAAGCCCUUCGGGGGAAAGAUUUAUCGCCUUUGGAGCGGCCGCGUCUGAUUAGCUUGUUGGUGAGGUAAUAGCUCACCAAGGCUACGAUCAGUAGCUGGUCUGAGAGGAUGGCCAGCCACACUGGGACUGAGACACGGCCCAGACUCCUACGGGAGGCAGCAGUGGGGAAUCUUGCGCAAUGGGCGAAAGCCUGACGCAGCCAUGCCGCGUGGAUGAUGAAGGUCUUAGGAUUGUAAAAUCCUUUCACCGGGGACGAUAAUGACGGUACCCGGAGAAGAAGCCCCGGCUAACUUCGUGCCAGCCGCCGCCGUAA
rnacentral:rRNA from 1 species